rnacentral:rRNA from 1 species
GUCUUUUUGAUUAUGAUUUAAAGUCUAGUCUGCCCGCUGUGUAUAUGAAGGGCCGCGGUAUUUUAACUGUGCAAAGGUAGCAUAAUAAUUAGUUUUUUUAUUGGAAACUGGAAUGAAUGGCUGGACGAGAAAAAUAGUGUCUCAAUAAAAAUUAAUGAAUUUUAUUUUUAAGUGAAAAAGCUUAAAUUAUUUUAAAAGACGAGAAGACCCUAUAGAGUUUAACAUUAAGAUUUUAUUAAAAAAUUGGUAUUUUUUAUUAUUAAAAUUAUUUUUGUUUAGCUGGGGUGGCUUUAAAAUUGAUUUAACUUUUAUAUAUAAUAACACUUAUUUGUGAUUUAUUGAUCCAUAUUUUUGAUUAAAAGAUUUAAUUACCUUAGGGAUAACAGCGUAAUCUUUCUUAGGAGUUCAAAUCAAUAGAAGGGAUUGCGACCUCGAUGUUGGAUUAAAAUUUAUUUUUGGUGCAGAAGCUAAAAUAUUAAGUCUGUUCGACUUUUAAAAUUUUACAUGAUCUGAGUUUAAACCGGUGUGAGCCAGGUUGGUUUCUAUCUUUAAAAAUUUUUAAAUACUUUAGUACGAAAGGACCAAGUAUUUAACUUAAAGUUUAUUUUUGAUGAAUAUUGUUAUUUUGGCAGAAUAGUGCAAUAGAUUUAGGAUCUUUAUAUGUAGUUAAUACAAAUAACACUUGUUUUUUUAUGAUUUAUUUAUAAUUUUAAUUAGAAUAUUAUUUUUAAUUAUUGGUGUUCUUGUUGGUGUUGCUUUUUUAACUUUACUUGAACGUAAGGUUUU